AUUAGGUUCUCACAUGAGUGCCAUGGUUUGGUACACACCAAAAUUAGGGGUCAUCAUCCGAAUCGCUAUCUAGCUCCACCUCUUCCUCCGGCAGUGUCCACAACACAACAGUAGUUUCUGAAUGUUUAAGUAGGUGUCCCGAUUGCUGGUUAUUACAAUGUUUAACAAAUCAUCACGCGUUCUCUAUUUUAUUUAAAUUUCCUAUCAUCAUAUUGCCGCCCAGAUUCAAAAGCAACAACCCAAACACGGGUUGAACACGCGUUAGCUUGACGGCACAAUGUAGGAUGGAACAAUAAUCCAAGCACAGCACAGUUUAGAGCUGUUUUCAAGAAGAUCCUGGCUAGGCCUGGUGUGCUUCCAAAUUCAAAUGAGGAGAAGAAUGGAGCCAGGAGCUGCAGCCAUGGAGCAAGCCCAACUCACUGAGCAAUGCCCUCACCACAGCCACGAUGUUUGGAUUGCACACUUUCGUGCACAAGAUUGUGGAUUGGGGAUUAUUUGAAAAUGUUGAUGAUUUUUAUUUUGGCCUGCAAGCCAGCCGUGUACCCCCAGAUACCACUGCUGGUAGAGGGGCGGCUCUUUUGUUAUUGUUUAAAUAAACUCAGACGU